ensembl:lncRNA
CACGGAUAUGUGAAGAAUGAAGGGACCCUGCAGCGAAACGGAGAGCCAACCUCUGACUGAGUGCCUGUCUACACAUUCUGACCACCUGUUGAAGGGCUGUUUGAUGACGAUUUGGACUCCUAUGGGAGAUGAGGACACACCCACAUCUGUUCCAUACUGCAGCCAUUGAUGGUGUUACAGCUCUGAGUCAGAUUUGGGCCAUCAGACGCACACACUGGAAAACCAGCACCUGGACUUCAUGCAGGAGAGACGGCCUCAGUGAUAAUUCAUCAGCAGCUGUGGAGAGAUGCAUUUGAAUAUCUUCUGGUUCCACUUUUCCUUACCUGGAAGCUGAGUAUUGCUGAUUUCUGACAAGGACACAAACCUCAGUGCUUAUCGUGGGUGUUACAUCCUCUGUGCAGCAAUUCCAGAGAAAACGAGAGAGCAACGACCACUCAUUAAGACCAGC